rnacentral:rRNA from 1 species
UACGUAGGGACCGAGCGUCGUCCGGAUUCAUUGGGCGUAAAGAGCUCGUAGGCGGCUGCUCAAGUCGAAUGUGAAAACUCGAGGCUCAACCUCGAGCCUGCAUUCGAUACUGGGCGGCUAGAGUCUGGUAGGGGGAUCUGGAAUUCCUGGUGUAGCGGUGGAAUGCGCAGAUAUCAGGAGGAACACCGGUGGCGAAGGCGGGAUCCUGGGCCAGUACUGACGCUGAGGAGCGAAAGCGUGGGGAGCAAACAGG